UCUCCGCCAGGUGUCACAAUCAUCCUCUCGCUGGCUCCUCUCCCCGCCCCUCCAGGAUGGCAGUGCGGAAGCGGAAGAGGCUGUAGGGCCGGGAAGCUUCUCCUUAGGCCGGCCGGGUCCUGCGGUCUGGGCCGCCUGCCGCGAUGCCGAGCCCCCGGAGGAACGCCGAGGGCCGCCCUCUGGCCGCCUGCGCCCCGAGCAGCAGCGGCAGCCCGGCCCAUGGCGGCGGCGGCGGCAGGUUUGAGUUCCAGUCCCUGCUCUGCAGCCGCGCGCCGGGCGCCGACCCCACCUGCGCCCGGCUCCGCGCGUCCGAGAGCCCAGUGCACCGCCGCGGCUCGUUCCCCCUGACCGGGGCGGGCUCCUCGCCGGCGCUCCCCUCCCCGCUGCCCGAGGAGGACCGCAUGGACCUGAACCCGUCCUUCCUGGGCAUCGCCCUGCGCUCCCUGCUGGCCAUCGACCUAUGGCUGUCUAAGAAGCUGGGGGUGUGUGCGGGGGAGAGCUCAUCCUGGGGCAGCGUGCGUCCCCUUAUGAAAUUGCUGGAGAUCUCGGGACACGGCAUCCUCUGGCUGCUGGGCACCCUCUACUGCCUGUCCAGGAGCGACAGCUGGGCCGGGCGAGAGGUGCUGAUGAACCUGCUCUUCUCCCUGCUGUUGGACCUGCUGCUGGUGGCCCUGAUCAAGGGGCUGGUCCGCAGGCGCCGCCCGGCCCACAACCAGAUGGACAUGUUUUUCACCCUUUCGGUGGACAAGUACUCCUUCCCUUCGGGCCAUGCCACCAGGGCCGCCCUGGUGUCACGGUUCAUCCUGAACCACCUAGUGCUGGCCGUUCCACUGAGGGUGCUGGUGGUACUGUGGGCCUUCAUCUUGGGCCUCUCCAGGGUCAUGCUGGGGCGGCACAAUGUCACCGACGUGGCUUUUGGCUUUUUUCUGGGCUACAUGCAGUACAGCAUCGUGGACUAUUGCUGGCUUUCACCGCACAAUGCUCCAGUCCUCUUUGUACUGUGGAACCAACAGUGACACCAUCUCAUUCGUUAUGGCACCUGAUCUGAAAGUUUCUACACGUGAUGAUGCUGACAUAAACCAGCAGCCAUCCUGCUUGCCCCUCUAAGGAUUUCAGGCUUCCUUUUGGGAUUUCAGGUGUCCUACAAUCUUGAUGGGUUGCUAGGUUAGAGCACAGUGCUGACCAUUACUGAUGACAGCCAUAUUACAGAAAGCAAAAAAACCCCCUCUAUUAUAUACCUAUUCAACAACUUUUUAUAUCUCCAGGACAACUGCAAAGAAACCAAGUUGAGGUGAUUAUAAUAUUGCUGCUUUUUAAAAGUUGACAUCAGAAAAUUUUGUUUUGUGUAAUCCUAGAACAAGCCAAGAACUUUACUGAAGAAGAAACACUUACAGGCGGGCAUAUCGACAGUGCCCAUGGAAAAGGAAAGAUGGGACUAUGGCCUCAUGCUUAAUUCUGUUGACAGCAAACAGCAUGGCAUGACAGAGGACAGAAAAACGAAGCUGCUGAGGAGAUCAAAGGAACUGAGAGUCUGGGGGUAGGCUCACUACAUACUUUGUCAGUGGACCAACAUGGAAGAAGAUGGGCCCUGCUGCCUACCAUCUCUACUGAAUAAAGAAUAAUGCUUCUUUAAUGAGGUAAUAUAAUGGAAAAAUAACUUGAUUCUUUGCAAUGCAAGAGCAUAAGCUUUCAAAUAUAUACCACAAGGAUGACCCUGUAUAUUAUAGUUUUUCAUAUGGAAUUCCAUUUCCCUGUAUACAGCACACUUUAGGUAACAGUAUUUAACUUGAAAUUCAUCAAGUGGAGCCUACCGCUAUACCAGGCACAAAGUAUAACUCCUAAAUUUCCACUUAUAUUGACCCUCACAAUUAAAGCAGUUUAUCGAUGGUGCCUCCCCAAAUCACAAGACCAAAAGCCUCCAAAUGCAGGGUGGACUCUGCUUAUUAUUCUUUGACCAGGAAAGAUGGAAGAGGGUGUGUGCUUUAAAUGCUGCUCUGCCUGAAAAUAUGAACCUUUAAAUUACCUAUGGAACUGGUGUCUUUAGAUAAUCUUAACAACCAAUUAUUUUGACAUUUAUAAAUAGAAAGGAUUAUGGCGUUUGAUCUGUCAUAUAGAGAUGUACAUAGGAAUCCGGAGAAUGGCUGUGACAGGUAGGCUCUGAUUGGGUGGAACUGUGAACUUACUGAGCAUGAGAGGAACACUGAAAAAGGAAUAGCUACUUUUCAAAAUGAUUUGCAUUUCCACAACAUCCUGAACACAGACUACAUCUUCACUUCCUGAAUCAGCCAAACUGUGACACUCUAAGUGGUUUCCUUUAUUGUUUAGCCUUAGAGAGAUCCUUUAUUUUAAUUGCAGCAAUAUUCAGGCCAGAUAUUUGGAAGCAGUUUUUCCUCUUGCAGCAUCUACAAGUCUGAAUACUGGGAGAUCAAAAUUAGGCUCACCUCCUUUCUGGUUAUUUUUCUGGAAUUCCCUAUCUUGGUUGCUGGGGCCUGAGUUUGCUGGCUUGUAAAGCACAGAUCAAUUCACCUGAUUUUUUUUGAAGCAUCCUAAGUACUGUAGAGUAAAAAAAACUGAUUCCACUGUUAAUUAAUUGUACACUGAAGGAUGCCUUUUAAAAAUCAAAAUAAAAUUAACUAGUAAUGUUGAAUGAAGUGAGAUGAAAACUUGUUUAAUUUUUGCCUUAAUGAGUAGUAAGACAGAUUUAUCACUCAACGUCUCAAGAAUUCCUUCAUCUUACUGCACAAUUGUGAGAGGUCACAGCUGAUAUAGCACAAUUGAUACAGUCUGGUCCUAUUUGCUGUCAGCAAAAUCGGUCAAAUCCAGGAAAUUUCCAUCUUUGUUUCAGAGCUGCAUGUAGGAUGAAAUCACAGCAUUUGUCACUUGUAUGGAGGCUAACCAGAUUUUCCACGGCCAUAACCUGUUGGUGUUCUGCUUAUAAUCCUGGCCAGUAGAGAAGCUCCUUAUAGCUUUCAGGCAAAGCUGCGUGACAGUCUGUCACCAACUACACAUGGAAGGGUUGGAAAAUGGAAGCUGAAAUAAGGAAUGACCGACCCCAAACAGGAACAAUGGAGUCACUCUGCCACAGCACCUCACUUAAGCAGGAUUCAGUGGAUAAUUAUUAAACAGUUGUUGAUUGAUCCCUUUUGGAAUUAGCAAGCCAGAGCCAUCUGUAGGGGAAGUAUCUUAGAAAAUACUUGAUUGGUUUAUAGAGGUGGCAAAUUAUCAGGGAAGUGAUCUGGCUUUUUGAAAUUA